AUUCAGUGUGGCCAUACCACGUGGUUUGUGACGUCAUUUUGGCUAGCACGCUAAGUAGAAAUUUGUCAACAUUGGCCCCGCUUAGAAAUUUCAAAUCCACAUACACAUGAUGACGACCGAAGAGCGAUAUAUUUGUGUCAUAUGCGCCAGAGGGGUACAAGCACAGGCGCUAUUUGGUUUACCAUGAAAGAACACACACUGGGAUGUUACCCUUAAACUGUUGCGGCGUUGGGUUUUCAUCAAGACGACAAUUACAAAGACACAGGUGCAAUGUACACGGUGACGGAAAAACUAUCUUUGCCUUUAUUGUGGAAAAGAAUUCGCAACGAAAGUAGAUUUAGAUGCCCACUCGGUCCGAGAACAGCGCACUCGAGAGAUCGAGUGCGAGAUAUGCAACCACAAGGCCACAACACGGGCUCAUCUCCGAGAACAUCUCAAAACACACAGCGAGGAAAAAACACGUUUGCCAUGUGUGCAAAGCCGCCUAUAAACAUAAAAGUUCACUGUAUAGGCACUAUGGGCAAAAACACAAAUGACCUGUAUACAGUGGUUUUACCUGUUUGUGAUUUAUUUGUGAUUUACCCGUGAUUGAAUUGUUGCGAUAAAAGCAUAAUCAUCAGAUCUCAAGCAUAAUUAACAAUUGAACCGUAUCUGUUUAUACCACGAGGUUUACUUGUUGCGUUUUAUAACUUUUUAUUGUACUUUUUAUUGUUUUUUAUGUUUUGUUAAAGCUACUGUUAUAUUAUAGCAGUUGUGACUUGUAUUGUGAUUAAAAUGUAAUUUUAUAAUUGUGAUUAAUGCUUUAUAAUCAGAUCUCAAGCAUAA